rnacentral:rRNA from 1 species
UACGGAGGGUGCAAGCGUUAUCCGGAUUCACUGGGUUUAAAGGGUGCGUAGGCGGACAUGUAAGUCCGUGGUGAAAUCUCCGAGCUUAACUCGGAAACUGCCAUGGAUACUAUAUGUCUUGAAUGUUGUGGAGGUUAGCGGAAUAUGUCAUGUAGCGGUGAAAUGCAUAGAUAUGACAUAGAACACCAAUUGCGAAGGCAGCUGGCUACACAAAUAUUGACGCUGAGGCACGAAAGCGUGGGGAGCAAACAGG